rnacentral:lncRNA from 1 species
GGGAGAACUUGGUCCAGAUGGAACUAUUGGGCCUCCUGGUAUCAAUGGUCCCCAGGGAAAACAAGGAGAAGUUGGGCCUGCUGGUCCUAAAGGUGACCCAGGGAAUUUUGGAGAUGAAGGAGAUAUAGGUGAACAUGGACCACCUGGACUCCCUGUAAGAUAUUAAAUCAAAACCAAAAUCUUAGCAGAGGCAACAAUAUCACACAUUAGUUAAAAUAUGAAGCUCAUGUAAUAGGUCAAAAGGCUAUUUUUGGUCA